UUAAAAAACAACAACAAGGUUUUAUAUUUGAAAAGACAUCUAAAAAUCUCCAUUGAGUCAUCUCUAUUUGUCAUCUCUAUUUGUGUAAUGGAAUCGAUGAACGAUGAAUUUCCUAUGAAAUAUUAUUAUUGAAAUAUAAGUUAUACUUGUCUAAUUCUCACUUUUAAUAUAUUCUACUGCUUUCAGAUACUUAGAAAGGACUUAGAUAAUCAGUACCCAUAAUUCAAGUCACUCUCCCUAUACGUACCCCUUCUCAUGCUUUCA
rnacentral:lncRNA from 1 species